AAUAUGUGACAAUGGGGGGAACCCUGAUCCAGCCAUGCCGCGUGUGUGAAGAAGGNCUNNGGAUUNUNAAGCACUUUAAGUUGNNNNNAAGGGCAGUAAGCUAAUACCUUGCUGUUUUGACGUUACCGACAGAAUAAGCACCGGCUAACUUCGUGCCAGCAGCCGCGGUAAUACGAAGGGUGCAAGCGUUAAUCGGAAUUACUGGGCGUAAAGCGCGCGUAGGUGGUUUGAUAAGUUGGAUGUGGAAGCCCCGGGCUCAACCUGGGAAUUGCAUCCAAAACUGUCUGACUAGAGUAUGGCAGAGGGUGGUGGAAUUUCCUGUGUAGCGGUGAAAUGCGUAGAUAUAGGAAGGAACACCAGUGGCGAAGGCGACCACCUGGGCUAAUACUGACACUGAGGUGCGAAAGCGUGGGGAGCAAACAGG
rnacentral:rRNA from 1 species